rnacentral:rRNA from 1 species
AUUGAACGCUGGCGGCAGGCCUAACACAUGCAAGUCGAACGAGUGGCGGACGGGUGAGUAAUGUCUGGGAAACUGCCCGAUGGAGGGGGAUAACUACUGGCAACGGUAGCUAAUACCGCAUACCAUCGGAUGUGCCCAGAUGGGAUUCGCUAGUAGGUGGGGUAACGGCUCACCUAGGCGACGAUCCCUAGCUGGUCUGUGAGGAUGACCAGCCACACGGUAACUGAGGCACGGUCGAACGGCCUACGGGAGGCAGCAGUGGGGAAUAUUGAACAAUGGGCGCUAUCCUGAUUCAGCCAUGCCGCGUGUAUGAAGAAGGCCUGCGGGUUGUAAAGUACUUUAAGCGAGGAGGCGUGACUCGCAGAAGAGGCACCGGCUAACUCCGUGCCAGCAGCCGCGGUAAUAC